CAAAAGGGGAAAAGUGCCCAGCUGGUGUGGCUCAUGGCUGAAUAUGAACCAGAGGGUAAAGAACAUGAAAUGUACAAAAAUUGUCUGAACAAUGCUGUGUUCACAUCUGACCGACUUGUCUUUAUCCUCAAUGUCACAAUCCUUUUUCUCAAAGCACGGCAUGCUUUCAAUUUAUAAUGCUCCAAGAACAGCUGAAAAGACCUGAAUUUAAUUCUUCAAACCCUGAGUGCCUGCUAUUCGCUGGGCAGCAAUUCUGCUGGUUCGGAGAUACAUGA